ensembl:lncRNA novel transcript
GAACUGUAAACCAACUGCCAAACACCCCAACAUGCACUCACAGCAAAUGGGCUAGAUAAUUCAUUCAGCCCCCAAGUAGGGCGUACUCCACAAUGACCACUUCAGAUGUGGCCAUGGAGGAUGCUGAACAAAGAAGAACUAUCCAGUGUGUGACGCCAGGGAGCCACCACUAACAAUAGCUUCAUGCCAAUGAAUCAUCCCUCAGUUGAGGACGACGUGCCUGCAGAGAUUCAUCAAGACUGCUCCAGCUCGUGAUUGGAAAGGGAGAGAAAGAAAUGCUGGGACAUCCAGCUGUCACACAGCUAACCGGAAAGCCAUGUGGUCAAACAGAGGCACAUUGGAGCUCUUAGGUGGAAAAAUGGGUGCCCACUUAAAAGCUACACAACCUGGAACACGGUGUCAGGACACUUUAAUUCUUUCUCCUCCUGUCCUCAUCUGGUAGCCUCAUGCAAUUCAGAGGAAACACAAAGCGGAGCAUUCCCAAAGGGCUCACAUUGUUUGGGAUUUGUCCACGUUGACUCUUCAGGCUGCAGUUGCAUUUGCUGGAUACCUGCUAUGUGCCAAAUCUCAUCUCCCU